UACGGGGGGAGCAAGCGUUGUUCGGAUUUACUGGGCGUAAAGGGCGCGUAGGCGGUCAGCACAAGUCAGUUGUGAAAUCUCCGGGCUUAACUCGGAAAGGUCAACUGAUACUGUGCGACUAGAGUGCAGAAGGGGCAACUGGAAUUCUCGGUGUAGCGGUGAAAUGCGUAGAUAUCAGGAGGAACACCGGUGGCGAAGGCGGUUCUCUGGGCAUUACCUGACGCUGAGGAGCGAAAGUGUGGGGAGCGAACAGG
rnacentral:rRNA from 1 species